GAGAACCUAGUAAAAACCAUUACAUGGCUCUGUCACGGCCAAAUCACAUCACAUGUGGUUCUCA
rnacentral:tRNA from 1 species